AGGUCAUUGCAAAGAGGGCUUGUGGGGCUGUGAAACCGGGGGCUUUUAACGUACUGACCAAAGACGGAUGUUCUCCAUGAGAAGCUAUA
ensembl:snoRNA